AUUUAGCCAUGCUAGUCGCACGAGUUCAGGCUCGUGGCAGAUAGCUCAGUAACACGUGGCCAAACUGCCCUACAGAUCGCGAUAACUUCGGGAAACUGAGGCUAAUAGCGAAUACGGCUCUCACGUUGGAGUUGCAGAGAGCCGGAAACGCUUCGGUGCUGUAGGAUGUGGCUGCGGCCGAUUAGGUAGACGGUGGGGUAACGGCCCACCGUGCCAAUAAUCGGUACGGGUCGUGAGAGCGAGAACCCGGAGACGGAAUCUGAGACAAGAUUCCGGGCCCUACGGGGCGCAGCAGGCGCGAAACCUUUACACUGCACGACAGUGCGAUAAGGGGACUCCGAGUGCGAGGGCAUACAGUCCUCGCUUUUGUACACCGUAAGGUGGUGUACGAACAAGAACUGGGCAAGACCGGUGCCAGCCGCCGCGGUAAUACCGGCAGUUCGAGUGAUGGCCGCUCUUAUUGGGCCUAAAGCGUUCGUAGCCGGCCACGCAAGUUCGUCGGGAAAUCUGCCCGCUUAACGGGCAGGCGUCCGGCGAAAACUGCUUGGCUUGGGACCGGGAGACUCGAGAAGUACGUUCGGGGUAGGAGUGAAAUCCCAUAAUCCUGAACGGACUACCGAUGGCGAAAGCAUCUCGAGAGAACGGAUCCGACGGUGAGGAACGAAAGCUGGGGUCUCGAACCGGAUUAGAUACCCGGGUAGUCCCAGCUGUUAACGAUGCUCGCUAGGUAUGGCACAGGCCUACGAGCCUGUGCUGUGCCG
rnacentral:rRNA from 1 species